CAGAUACUCCCUCCGUCCCAAAAUUCUUGUCUUAGAUUUGUCUACAUACUGAUGUAUCUAUUCACAUUUUAGUGUUAGAUACAUCCGUAUCUAGAUAAAUCUAAGAAAAGAAUUUUGGGACGGAGGGGGUACUAG
rnacentral:pre_miRNA from 1 species